GGAAAACGAGCCGCGAGAGAUCUUCCAUUCGUAAGUCGGGGAAACUAGUGACUUCAUCCACACAGGCCAGAAAGAGAAAACACAACAUGUUUACUUUCCGUAUCAGUAAGUGUUCACAAUGAGCAGGGCACCCAUCCCUCGUCGUCUGUGCAAAAGCAAGAGGACUUUCCUGGAUAGAGGGCUUCCGUGCUGGCAGAGAGUGUGCCGUCUUUGCCUUCCAAGGGGCAAUAUGGAUAAUUUUUUCUGCACAUGAUGGUGGAGUAACCUGAAAAGCCAUGUGGAAACAUAGUCCAGCUGGAUUCCUUCUUCACCAUUUGCCCAAACGUAAAUUAUAUAUCAUGGGGACAUCUAACCAUUAGAAAACAUGAACAUAUGAGAACAAACGUUGGAAAGAGUCAGUGUUGAUGAAGGGCAGCGAACGAUCGGGUUGGGCAGGGAUGUCUCUGCUUUUCGAGCCCACUGACAAGAGCAUCCCUUCUGGCGGUGCCCCAGGCUUAGGCAGUGGCUUAGGCAAGACCUGGCUUCCCUUAAAACCUCCUCGUGCAUUCACAAGUCAAGUACCAGUCUCCCUUCAAGCUCAUUAUCAGUGAAACUGCUGACGAUCUAACACAACGCACGCUUACGUGAUCAUUCUGGAAAUCGAGCAAUGGAAACUGUGAUUUGAUUUUCAGGUUGUUGAAAGUCAUAGCUGCUAGCAAGGUGUGAACAUGAAGGUAGGACACAACAGCUGUUCAAUGCAUUUUUUAAAAUGAUUUUUUUUCGUAUGGCUUACUCUGUUCAGCAAUAAACCAAAUCCUGUAGAAUGGAAGCAUUUAAAAGCUGGGUGACAGAUGGCCGCUCCUCAUUUCCUGAUGCGUUUUGUGAUGGAAAUUUCGCCGAGAAAAACACUAAUAAUAAUGCUGUUAAUAUAGUGCCUUUUCC